GAUGAACGCUGGCGGCGUGCCUAAUACAUGCAAGUCGAGCGAACGGACGAGAAGCUUGCUUCUCUGAUGUUAGCGGCGGACGGGUGAGUAACACGUGGAUAACCUACCUAUAAGACUGGGAUAACUUCGGGAAACCGUAGCUAAUACCGGAUAAUAUUUUGAACCGCAUGGUUCAAAAGUGAAAGACGGUCUUGCGGUCACUUAUAGAUGGAUCCCCGCUGCAUUAGCUAGUUGGUAAGGUAACGGCUUACCAAGGCAACGAUGCAUAGCCGACCUGUGAGGGUGGUCGGCCACACUGGAACUGAGACACGGUCCAGACUCCUACGGGAGGCAGCAGUAGGGUAUCUUCCGCAAUGGUCGAAAGCCUGACGGAGCAACGCCGCGUGAGUGAUGAAGGUCUUCGGAUCGUAAAACUCUGUUAUUAGUUAAGAACAUAUGUGUAAUUAACUGUGCACAUCUUGACGGUACCGAAUCAGAAAGCCACGGCUAACUACGUG
rnacentral:rRNA from 1 species